CCAGAGUUCUGGGAUUACAGGUGUGAGCCAUCUUGCUCAUUCUAGUUUAAACUUUUGAGUGGUUUGUGUCUCCUGAUUGGACUCCUACAAAUACAGAAUUGAUGCUAGGAAGGGUACCAGGAGAUAGACGCACACAGAUGGGAUUUGGGAAUAGGUUUGGUUAUCCAAGGAGCAGUGCUGAGCUCCUUGCAAUGGGAUAUGGGAUGCUGGUGAUUUCCAGGAAGUGCGCUCACAAUGACUCAAGCUGCCACAUACUGUUGAUUGUGAAAUGCCAGUUGAAGCAUAUGUCCUGCAAGCUUAGGGGUGCUACAAGUUGACCACUGCAGCAGUAAAGAUGACUCUGAAGAAUGGCGUGGGAUGGUUCCUUUCAAAUGCACUUGAGCAGCGGUCUCCAACCACAGGGCCACAGAGCUGGAGCUGGAUCUACCAUGAAAGACUUGUGAAUCCAGGAAGAGAGACUGACUGGGCAACAUGUUAUUCAGGUACAAAAAGAUUUGGACUGUAACUUAAAAAUGAUCAAAUUAUGUUUCCCAUGCAUCAGGUGCAAUGGGAAGCUCUUCU
rnacentral:lncRNA from 1 species